UACGAAGGGGGCGUAGCGUUGUUCGGAAUUACUGGGCGUAAAGCGCACGUAGGCGGAUUGUUAAGUCAGAGGUGAAAUCCCGGAGCUCAACUUCGGAACUGCCUUUGAUACUGGCAAUCUAGAGUCCGGAAGAGGUUAGUGGAAUUCCCAGUGUAGAGGUGAAAUACGUAGAUAUCCGGAGGAACACCGGAGGCGAAGGCGAUCUCUUGGUUCGAUACUGACGCUGAGGCGCGAAAGCGUGGGGAUC
rnacentral:rRNA from 1 species